AUUGAAACAACACUCUAAGCCUUUGCGCCUAAGUCCUUGCGAUAUGGCGCUCUGGCCGUGGCGACGCCACCAGGGUGCAGAAAGAAAUGACUGCAUCUCCCGUAUUUGGAAAGGUGUACAUGGUUUCUCAAC
rfam:Cronobacter sp. DJ34 Bact_A5_9, whole genome shotgun sequence.